rnacentral:SRP_RNA from 1 species
GCCGGGUGUGGUGGCGCACACCUGUAGUCCCAGCUACUCGGGAUGCUGAGGCAGGAGAAUUGCUAGAACCCAGGAGGCAGAGGGUGCAGUGAGCCAAAAUUAUGCCACUGCACUCUAGCCUGGGCAACAGAGCAAGAAUCUGUCUCAA